CCUACGGGAGGCAGCAGUGAGGAAUAUUGGUCAAUGGGCGGGAGCCUGAACCAGCCAAGUCGCGUGAGGGAAGACGGCCCUAUGGAUUGUAAACUUCUUUAGGCGGGGAGCAAUGCCGGGCACGCGUGCCCUGAGGGAGAGUACCCGCAGAAUAAGCAUCGGCUAACUCCGUGCCAGCAGCCGCGGUAAUACGGAGGUUCCGAGCGUUAUCCGGAUUUAUUGGGUUUAAAGGGAGCGUAGACCGGUUGUUAAGUCCGUUGUGAAAGUUUGCGGCUCAACCGUAAAAUUGCAGUUGAAACUGGCAGUCUUGAGUAGAGUUGAGGUAGGCGGAAUUCGUGGUGUAGCGGUGAAAUGCUUAGAUAUCACGAAGAACUCCGAUUGCGAAGGCAGCUUACUAACCUGCCACUGACAUUGAUGCUCGAAAGUGUGGGUAUCGAACAGGAUUAGAUACCCCAGUAGUC
rnacentral:rRNA from 1 species